rnacentral:rRNA from 1 species
UACGGGGGGGGUAAGCGUUGUUCGGAAUUACUGGGCGUAAAGGGCUCGUAGGCGGCCAACUAAGUCAGACGUGAAAUCCCUCAGCUUAACUGGGGAACUGCGUCUGAUACUGGAUGGCUUGGAUUCGGGAGAGGAAUGCGGAAUUCCAGGUGUAGCGGUGAAAUGCGUAGAUAUCUGGAGGAACACCGGUGGCGAAGGCGGCAUUCUGGAACGACACUGACGCUGAGACGCGAAAGCGUGGGGAGCAAACAGGG